rnacentral:rRNA from 1 species
AUUNGACAAUGGGGGGAACCCUGAUCCAGCGNCGCCGCGUGAGUGAAGAAGCAUUUCGGUAUGUAAAGCUCUAUCAGCAGGGAAGAAAGAAAUGACGUUACCUGACUAAGAAGCCCCGGCUAACUACGUGCCAGCCGCCGCGGUAAUACGUAGGGGGCAGGCGUUAUCCGGAUUUACUGGGUGUAAAGGGAGCGUAGACGGCGAUGCAAGUCUGAAGUGAAAGGCGGGGGCCCAACCCCCGGACUGCUUUGGAAACUGUAUAGCUGGAGUGCAGGAGAGGUAAGUGGAAUUCCUAGUGUAGCGGUGAAAUGCGUAGAUAGUAGGAGGAACACCAGUGGCGAAGGCGGCUUACUGGACUGUAACUGACGUUGAGGCUCGAAAGCGUGGGGAGCAAACAGG